CAGCCUACAGCAGAUUGGACUCAGCAGAUUAGAAAGGCCUGAGGGACUGCUUCCAGAAGGUCCACUGACAGCAGGAAAAAAUGACAGGUCUCAGCCCGACAACAAGGGAGGCAAGAGAAAGACUAUAAAAACCAGUAACAAAAUCUCAAAAGGCACAGCAGUCUGGGUCAUUUAUUAAAAGACAAAGAGCCCACCUCAGGUUCUAACGUUCCCAUGGACCAGCCCUGCUGCCGUGGUCUCUAUGACUUUGAGCCAGAAAACCAAGGCGAAUUAGGAUUUAAAGAAGGGGACAUCAUUACGUUAACCAAUCAAAUAGAUGAAAACUGGUAUGAAGGAAUGAUACAUGGGGAAUCUGGAUUCUUCCCCAUUAAUUAUGUUGAAGUGAUCGUGCCUUUACCUCAGUAAAUGUGUAACACAAACUUUGGACAUACUUUCAUAACUGAAAUGAAUUCACACCAAUGUUCUCUCAAUGUGGUGUUCUGUGACAUCCUUGCUCUCUGACCAACUUAAUGACUUUUGUAUGUGUGUUCUCUUUAUAAUGUAUUUUGUAUCAAUUUAAUUUGUAUAAAUGAUUUUCUUGUCCUAGCUACAUGAAAAUAUAGAUUUCUUUUUUGCUUGUUGCCCUAAAAGUCAUUGGUUAAAUGUAUGUGCUUCCACCCAUUGCAGUUAUGUCAAUGAACUGCCGAUAUUCCUCAGCUGCAAUGGAAUGUGACAUUUGAAACUAGGAAAUGCUAAAUAUUUUGACAUUACUGAUGGCAUCUAGUCUUUUUCCUUUAUUGUAUUUUAAGCUUACCUGUGAAUAGCCCAAUAAAUAUGACACACUGUGUUGGCAAGAGGCCUUUA